GUUCUUCCAAGGUAACCCCUUAAUUUUUGGCGACCGCCAUGAGUAACACGUGGGCAACCUGCCUGUAAGACUGGGAUAACUUCGGGAAACCGAAGCUAAUACCGGAUAGGAUCUUCUCCUUCAUGGGAGAUGAUUGAAAGAUGGUUUCGGCUAUCACUUACAGAUGGGCCCGCGGUGCAUUAGCUAGUUGGUGAGGUAACGGCUCACCAAGGCAACGAUGCAUAGCCGACCUGAGAGGGUGAUCGGCCACACUGGGACUGAGACACGGCCCAGACUCCUACGGGAGGCAGCAGUAGGGAAUCUUCCGCAAUGGACGAAAGUCUGACGGAGCAACGCCGCGUGAGUGAUGAAGGCUUUCGGGUCGUAAAACUCUGUUGUUAGGGAAGAACAAGUACGAGAGUAACUGCUCGUACCUUGACGGUACCUAACCAGAAAGCCACGGCUAACUACGUGCCAGCAGCCGCGGUAAUACGUAGGUGGCAAGCGUUAUCCGGAAUUAUUGGGCGUAAAGCGCGCGCAGGCGGUUUCUUAAGUCUGAUGUGAAAGCCCACGGCUCAACCGUGGAGGGUCAUUGGAAACUGGGGAACUUGAGUGCAGAAGAGAAAAGCGGAAUUCCACGUGUAGCGGUGAAAUGCGUAGAGAUGUGGAGGAACACCAGUGGCGAAGGCGGCUUUUUGGUCUGUAACUGACGCUGAGGCGCGAAAGCGUGGGGGAGCAAACAGGAUUAGAUACCCUGGUAGUCCACGCCGUAAACGAUGAGUGCUAAGUGUUAGAGGGUUUCCGCCCUUUAGUGCUGCAGCUAACGCAUUAAGCACUCCGCCUGGGGAGUACGGUCGCAAGACUGAAACUCAAAGGAAUUUGACGGGGGCCCGCACAGCGGUGGAAGCAUGGUGGUUUAAUUCGAAGUCAACGCG
rnacentral:rRNA from 2 species